CCUACGGGAGGCAGCAGUGAGGAAUAUUGGUCAAUGGGCGCGAGCCUGAACCAGCCAAGCAGCGUGAAGGAUGACGGCCCUACGGGUUGUAAACUUCUUUUGUAUGGGAAUAAAGUGCAGCACGUGUACCGUUUUGAGUGUACCUUAUGAAUAAGGAUCGGCUAACUCCGUGCCAGCAGCCGCGGUAAUACGGAGGAUCCGAGCGUUAUCCGGAUUUAUUGGGUUUAAAGGGUGCGUAGGCGGGUUGUUAAGUCAGGUGGGAAAGUUUGGGGCUCAACCGCAAAAGUGCAGUUGAUCCUGGCGGCCUAGAGUAGGGGAGAGGUAGGCGGAAUUCGUGGUGUAGCGGUGAAAUGCAUAGAUAUCGCGAAGAACUCCGAUUGCGAAGGCAGCGUACUGGA
rnacentral:rRNA from 1 species